GUGUUCCUGCUUUCUCCCAUGUGUACAUGUUAUUAAACUUGGUAUUAUUUUCUCCUGCUAACCUGUCUUGUUAAUUAUUUGGCCAGCCAUAAGAACCUUAAGGAAAAGGGCAGAGGGAGAUUCUCCCUGUCUCCCGACAGUUUUGGUGACGAGGAUGGGAUGCUAACUGGCUGGAAAGUUGCCUUCUCUGGCUGGAAGAACUGCAUUCUCCCUGGACUACUGCAGAUGAUGAGAUAUGGGAACACCUGAUGAAAGCCGGCAAAAAGGACACAAUUGGAAACACUGGUUACAUUACCAAGGUUGUGACUGGAACAUCAUAUUUGCGAUAUAACCAUACAGCUUUUCAGGAAUGAAGAUUGGACUCUACGGAAUAAAGCCACGUGGAAAUAUCAGCCUGCGACCUUAUGUUCCAAGCAGCACUUACCAGGAUAAGUAAAGAAUGUCACUUAUCUGGCAGGUACAAGGAAUCUCGAAACAUUUUGGGGGAACCUCGGAAGAGAGGAAUUCACCCAAAUCUGCAGGUGUAACCUUGAGAGCCCACCUGCAUCAUCACCUUCUAAAAUGAACUUAAUUGAACUGAUCUAUUAUCAGGACUAAGAAAUGUGUUCAGUGAGAUGAAACAAUCUACCAACUCAGCUUCUGGACUAUGAAACUUCUUUAAGUUUCAAAAGGACUGUGAAACUUUUAGUUUCAAAGGUGGGACUGUGGGAGAUCCAGAUUUGGCCACCCUGAAAUAUAUCUCUUUACCUUGAUUGUUUUUUCUGAGGGACAUUUGACCUCCCCCACUAACUGCCUAAAGAAUUUGACAUGAUGGCUCCUUCCUGGAACAGAUCUUCUAUCAUGAUGGCUGUAAUGAUAACGUAAAAUAGAUGUUACAAUGGGAGGGGCACCAAGCCCCUUUUAUCAAAAAACUCUAUCUCUCCCUGACCACAUUAUCUAUAGAUGACCCUGAAAAGAAUUGUCUUCUUGCCUUCUGAAGUCCCAGACCACUACCCACCUCCAACACCUUCCUUGUCUUUAGCUACAAUACUUAAGCAAGCAGCUUAGACAGAGGGACGAGUUUCUCAUUUCUGAGUUUCUCCCAUGUAUACACGUUAUUAAACUUGGUAAUAUUUUCUCCUGCUAACCUGUCUUGUUGAUUAUUUGGCCAGACAUAAGAACCUUAAGGGAAAGUGCAGAGGGGGAUUCUCCCUCUCUCCCCACAGAACCUUAUGAUUCUUUGUAUUUCCUUCAAUACCUACCACAAAUAUCUUGCACAUAUAGCUCAAGUUCAAUAAAGAAGAAGCACACUUUAUAAGCUAAGAACUUUUAUGAGUUCAGUUAUUCUGUUAGAUCAGCUGCUUGAACCAUUUGUCUUUCUCCACAGGUCAACAGUGUUGCCCAGAACAAAUGACUUUUACACCUUCUCAAACUCAAUAGAGCAAAGAUGGAACUUCAUUCCCCCUGCAAGCCUUACUGCCCUACAGAAAAGCAAAAACAACGGAGACUGAUAUCUCGAAAUUAUCAAGAAGCUGAAGCUCCCCAACUCCCGGUUCCUGGCGCGGAAUCCACCCUUCAUCACAGGGACAGACAAACAGAGGACACCUGCAGCUCCCCUAACUCAACUGAAUGCAGGCUGAUGGGAGGACGCCGAACUGCAAAGCUGCAGCUCCCCUUGCCCACUUAAAACCUUGUAAACUGUAAUCGUUAAUUGGCAGCAGUUGCCGUCCACUCCCCAAGGCCAAAUUUCGGGUGAUGAGAGAAGAUUGGUUGAUGGAGCCCUAGAUCUCCUGCUGUAGAUAGAGAUGACAGCCGGCUUGGCGCCAGAAGACUGGGAUCCCUCCUCCAACAAAUAAUCAGUCACCAAGGAUGCAUUCUCUCCCACAGACUUUCCUUUGAAAACCUCAACUCCUAAUGCCUCAGGAGAACUGUGGAUUUUGGGGCAUAAGCCCACCACAGCCUCAUUUUGCAGGCAAAAUUAAACCAUUUUUCUUUUCCUCGG